GACGAACGCUGGCGGCGUGCUUAACACAUGCAAGUCGAACGGAAAGGCCCUUCGGGGUCCUCGAGUGGCGAACGGGUGGGUAACACGUGGGUGAUCUGCCCUGCACUUUGGGAUAAGCCUGGGAAACUGGGUCUAAUACCGAAUAGGACCACGCGCUUCAUGGUGUGUGGUGGAAAGCUUUUGCGGUGUGGGAUGGGCGCGCGGCCUAUCAGCUUGUUGGUGGGGUAAUGGCCUACCAAGGCGACGAGGGGUAGCCGGCCUGAGAGGGUGACCGGCCACACUGGGACUAAGAUACGGACCAGACUCCUACGUGAGGCAGCGGUGGAGAAUAUUGCCCAAUGGGCGCAAGCCUGAUGAAGCGACGCCGGGUGAGGGAUGACGGCCUUCGGGUUGUAAACCUCUUUCAAUAGGGACGAAGCGCAAGUGACGGUACCUAUAGAAGAAGCACCGGCCAACUACGUG
rnacentral:rRNA from 1 species